rnacentral:rRNA from 1 species
GUGGGGAAUCUUGCGCAAUGGACGAAAGCCUGACGCAGCAACGCCGCGUGGGGGAUGAAGGCUCUCGGGUUGUAAACCCCUUUCAGCAGGGACGAAUCAAGACGGUACCUGCAGAAGAAGCCCCGGCUAACUACGUGCCAGCAGCCGCGGUAACACGUAGGGGGCAAGCGUUGUCCGGAUUUAUUGGGCGUAAAGAGCUCGUAGGUGGCUGAGUAAGUCGGAUGUCAAAUCCCCAGGCUCAACCUGGGAUCCCAUCCGAUACUGCUCUGGCUAGAGUCCGGUAGGGGAGCGUGGAAUUCCUGGUGUAGCGGUGAAAUGCGCUGAUAUCAGGAGGAACACCAGCGGCGAAGGCGGCGCUCUGGGCCGGUACUGACACUGAGGAGCGAAAGCGUGGGUAGCAAACAGGAUUAGAUACCCGGGUAGUCC